CAUUGAGGCCUACAGUGAAAAACCAAGAAUCCCAUAAUACAAUCUAGAAAACAAGCUAUCUAGGAAACUGUUUUGGAUGUGUGGAUUCAUUUAACAGAAUGGAAAUAGUGUUUUGAUUCACCAUGUUUGAAACACUCUUUUUGUGGAAUGCACGAAGAACAUUCUUUGUGGAAGAACAUUGAUGCCUAUAGUGAUUAACCAAAUAUCACGUGAUGCAAACUAGAAACAAGCUAUCUGUGAAAAUGCCUUGCAGCGUAUGGAUUCAUGUCACAGAGUUACACCUAUGUUUUGAUUCAACAGGUUGGAAACAAUCUUUUUGUAGAAUCUACAAAGGAAUAUUUCUGAGCCAAUUGAGUUCUAGAGUGAAAAACAGAAUAUCCUGUGAUAAAAACUAUAAAUAAGCUCUCUGUGAAAUUGCUUUGAGACUGUGGAUGCAUCUUUCAGAGUUAUGCCCUUGCUUAUAUUCAACAGGUUGGAAACACUUUUCUUGUAGAAUCUAUGAAGGGAUAUUUCUGAACCUAUUGAGGCCUAUGGUGAAAAAUUGAAUAUUCUGCGAUAUAAACCAGAAACAAGCUCUCUGUGAAAAUGCUUUUCCAUGUGUGCAUCCAUCUUACAGAGUUAAACGUUUGUUUAGAUUCAACAGGUUGGAAAUACUCUUUUUGUAGAAUCUAUGAAGGGAUAUUUCUGAACUUUUUGAGGCCUAUUGGCAAAAUCCGAAUAUUACGUGAUAAAAACUAGAAACAAGGUAUCAGUGAAAAUGCUUUGUGAUGUGUGGGUUUAUCUCACCAAAUAAAACCUGUGUCUUGAUUCACCAGGUUGGACACACUUUUUUUUCUAUAACCUACAUAGGGCGAUUUCUGAGCCUAUUGAGGUCUAUAGCAAAGCAACAACAACAAAUAUCCUGUCUUAUAAUCUAGAAAGAAGUUAUCUCUGAAAAUACUUUAUGAUGUGUGAAUUCAUCUCACAAAGUUAAACCUUUGUUUUGAUUCAACUGAUUGGAAACACUCUUUUUGUAAAAUCUAUGAAGGGAAAUUUCUGAGCCCAUUUAGGCCUAUAGUGAGAAACAGAAUAUCCCACUGUAAUAAGUAGAAACAAGCUAUCUGUGAAAAUCAUUUAUGGUGGCUGGAUUCAUCUCACCAAAUGAAACCUGUGCUUUGAUUCACCAGUUUGGAAACACUAUUUUUAUAGAAUCUAUGCAGGAAUAUUUCUGAUCCCAUUGAGGCAUAUGCUGAAAAUUCGAAUAUCCCAUGAUAAAAACUACAAACAAGCUAUCUAUGAAAAUGUUUUGUCAUGUGUGGAUUCAUCUCACAGAGUUAAACCUUUGUUUUGAUUCAUCUGUUUGAAAACACGCUUUUUUGUAGAAUCUAAGAAUCAACAUUUCUGAGUGCAUUGAAGCCUAUAGUGAAAAACAAAAUAUCUGAUGAUAAAAACUAGAAACAAGCUAUCUGUGAAAAUGCUUUGUGAUAUGUGGAUUCAUCUCAAAGAAUUAAACUUUAUUUUGAUUCAACAGGCUGGAAACACUGUUUUCGUAGAACCUACAAAAAGACAUUGGGGAGCCCACUGAGUCUUACAGUGAUAAACCAAGGAUCCUGUGAUAAAACUAGAAACAAGCUAUCUGUGAAAAUGCUUUGCAGUUGGUGAAUUUCUUUCAUAGUUAAACCUUUUUUUAUUCAAUACGUUGGAAACACCAUUUUUUAGUGUCUCUAAAGGGACUUUUUCAGCCCUUUGAAACCUAUAGUGAAAAACCAAAUAUCUUGCAAUAAAAACAAAUAAACAAAAAAGAACUACUUAUGAAAAUGCCUUGUGAUGUGUGGAUUCAUCUCACAGAGUUAAACCAUUGUUGUGAUUCAACAGGUUGGAAACAUGCUUUUUGUAGAAUCUACGAGUUGACAUUUCUGAGCCCUCUCUGGGUUAUGGUGAAAACGAAAUAUCCCAUGAUAAAAACUAGAAACAACCUAUCUGUGAAAAUGCUUUGCAAUGUGUGGAUUCAUUUCACAGAAUUAAACCAUUGUUUUGAUUUAACAGGUUGGAAACACUCUUUUUGUAGAAUGUAUGAAGAGAUAUUUCUGAGGCCUGUUGUGAAAAACUGAGGUUUCCACAAGAAAAACUGGAAACAAGUUAUCUGAGAAAAUGCUUUAUGAUGGGUGAAUUCAUCUCACAAAAUUAAACCUUCGUUUUGAUUCAAAAGGUUGCAAACACUCUUUUUGCAGAAUCUAUGAAGGAACAUUUCUGAACCAAUUUUGGCCUAUAGUGGAAAACUGAACAUUCUGUGAUAUAAACUAGAGAAAAGAUAUCUGUGAAAAUGCUUUGCAAUGUGUGGAUUCAUCUCACUGGAUGGAACCUAUGCUUUGAUUUAGUAGGUUGGAAAUACUCAUUUUGUAGAAUCUACAAAGGAUAUUUCUGAGCCCCUUUGAGCCUGUAGUGAAAAAUCAAGGAUCCCAUGAAGAAAAACAGAAAAACACUAUCUGUCAAAAUGCUUAUUGGUGUGUGGAUUCUUCUUACCAAAUGGAACCUGUGUUUUGAUUCACCAGGUUGGAAACACUUUUUUGUAGAGUCUAUGAAGGGACAUUUCUCAGCCCAUUGAGGCCUAUAGUGAUGAACAAAAUAUCCCAUAAUAGAAGCUAGAAAAAAGCUAUUUCCAAAAAUGCUUUGCAAUGUGUGGAUUUAUCUUACAGAAUUAAACCUUUAUUUUGAUUUGACAGUCUGCAAACACUUUUUUUUGUAGAAAGUACAGAGGGACAUUUCUGAGACCAUCAAGAACUAUAGUAAAAAAAUCAAACAACCUGCCUUAAUAUUUAGAAACAAGCUAUCUGUUAAAAUGCUUUAGAAUAUUUUCAUUCAUGUCACAGAUUUCAACCUUUUUUUUGAUUCAACAAGAUAAAAACACUCUUUUAGUUGAAUCUACAAAAAGAUAUUUCAAAGUCCGUUGAGGCCUAUAGUGAAAAACUGAAUAUCCCAUGAUAAAAACUAGAAGUGAGCCCUGUGUGAAAAUGCUUUGUGAUGUGUGGAUUCAUCUCACAGAGUUAAACUUAUAUUUUUAUUCAACACCUUGGAAACACUCUUUUUGUAGCAUCUAUGAAGGGACAUUCUGAGGCCAUUGAGGCCUAUAGUGAAAAGCAGAAUAUCCUUCCUUAAAAUCUAGAAACAAUCUAUCUGUGAAGAUGAUUUAUGAUGUGAGCAUUUAUCUCACAGAUUUAAAACUAUGUUUUAAUUCAACAGGUAGGAAAAAGUCUUUUUGUAGAAUCUAUGAAAGGACACUUCUGAGCCCACGGAGACCUAUAGUGAAAAACUGAAUAUCCAGCAUUAAAAACUAGAAACAAGCUAUAUGUAAAAAUGUUUUGUGAUGUGUGGAUUCAUCUCUCCCAAUGGAACCUGUGUUUUGAUUCUCCAGGUUGGAAACACUUUUUGUGAAAUCUAUGAAGCGACAUUUCUGAGCCCAUUGAGGCAUAUUGUAAAAUUUGAAUAUUCCACGAUAAGAACUAGAAACAAGCUAUCUCUGAAAAUCCUUUUCAAUGUGUGGCUUCUCCUCACAGAGUUAAAUCUUUGUUUCAAUUCAACACCUUGAAAACACUUUUUUGGUAGAAUCUACGAAGGGACAUUUCUGACCCAUUGAGGCCUACAGUAAAAAAUGUAGGGACAUUUCUGAGCCCAUUGAAGCCUAUAGUUAAAAAACUAAUUUCUGGUGAUAAAAUCUAGAAACAAGCCAUCUGUGAAAAUGCUUUGUGAUGUAUGGAUUUAUCUCAAAAAGUUAAAACUAUGUUUUUAACCAACAGGUUGAAAUCACUCUUUUUGUAGAAUCUAUGAAAAGACGUUUCUGAGCCCACUGAGGCCUGUAGAGAAAAACUGUAUAUCCUGCAAUAAAAGCUAGAAGAAAAGCUCUCCGUGUAAAUGGUUCCCGAUGUGUGGGUUAAUCUCACAGAGUUAAACAUUUGUUUUUAUUUAACAGGUUAGAAACGUUCUUUUUGUAGAAUCUACGAAGGAAUAUUUCUGAGCCCAUUGAGGCCUAUAGCAAGAAGCCAUAUAUCCGUCAAUAAAAACUGGAAACAAGCUAUCUGUGAACAUUUUUUGUGAUGUAUGCAUUUAUCUCACCAAAUGGAACCUGUGUUUUGAUUCACCAGUUUGGAAACACUCUUUUGUGGAAUGCAUGAAGGGACAUUUCUUAGCCAAUUGAGGUGUAUAGUGAUAUACCAAAUAUCCCGGGAUAGAAACUAGAAACAAGUUAUCUGCAAAAAUGCUCUGUGAUGUGUGGAUUUAUCUCACAGAGAUGAAGCUUUGUUUUGAUUCAACAUGUUGGAAACACUUUUUUUGUAGAAUCUACAAAGGGACAUUUCUGAGACCAUUAAAAACUACAGUAAAA
rnacentral:lncRNA from 1 species